AAAAAUCCUAGACCAAUCGCCCGCACGUACGAGAAACACUCGCACGCACGACUCUCUGCCCUCAUUCGCCCGCCGCCUCCCUUCGUCCCUUCGCCGCCACCCCUCGAUCUAUUCGCGACGCGAACGCCGCCGCCUGGCAGAUCCCAGGCGCUAGCCGCGGAUCCGUUUGCCGGCUCCGAGGGGUCGUGGAGGCGCCGCCGCCGAGGUCCUAAAGGAGGCGCCGCCGUGGACCUCCGGGUGGCCAUCGGGACACCUCUGCUGAGGUACGCCUUCGCCUUCGCGCGCUGCCGACCUCCCAGAGGAGACGCCGCCGCCAUCGACCUCCAAGGGGAGACGCCGCCACCACCUGCGCUAAACCCUAGGCAUCAACCACCGUGCUCCCGUCGUCUGGUUCCUCCUGCGUUCGCCACCAUGCGAUCGGCUUCCUCCCUCAGGUUCUUGUACGGAAUAUACCACCAGACCCCGAUGAAUCAGUUAGCAAGCUUGUGGAACAUUUCUUCCUUGUCAAUCAUCCUGAUCAUUAUCUGAAACAUCAGGUAAUCACUAAAUUUUGGAACAUCUCCCAUUUGAAGAAUCAUCUGCAAAUUCAAAUGUAAGGAAGUGUGCAGUGCAAGCAAUUAUCAGGUGUUGGCUGCCCAGGAAGAAGGAAAGGUCAGUCCAGACAUGACAUUUAACUCUAAUAAUGGAGGUACGUAGUGCCUACUGCUCCCUUGUCCCUUGCUACCGUCUGGGGAUGCUCGGCUCGCCAGCGAUGGGGAUGCUCGGCUCGCAGUCCCUGCUCUCAUUUUCCUCCAGCCUCUGGUAACCCUCCUCCUCGCCCGCCUCGCCGAAGCGGGAUUCACAGGGAGCAUCAGGUACAUCUUAUGUGGGGAUGAACCAUCAGCUAAAGGGAGUGAUAGGAAAAUAUUUUGUUGAAUGCAAUGGGAAGGCGAAAAACGACAUGCCUUGGCGAAGCAACUCUAAGAUUCGGUAAGGCUAAUCAAGUCUGCAAUCAAAUCCAAGAGCAGGGGCAGAGAAAAACGUUAAAAUACUUUUUAGCUAUUGAUUGAAGUGACUGGUAAUUAGUAGCAGGAGCAACAGUUGUAGUAAGAACCUACCUAGGCAUAUUUUCUCUCUUUCCUAUCACAUGGCACAUUGAAUAACUUUAUAGUACAAAUAUAUUCACAUAUGUUAUUUUAAAUUAUCAUGUCAUGGAGGUUCUCGUUAUUUCGAAUCUUUGGUUGGAACCUUCAUUUUGUGUUAUUAAAUGCACAUGGUAUUCAGUUAUCUCCAUUAUGGUGAGAAGACUUUGAUCUUGAUAUAUCAGAUUUAAGCCUCUUACACCAUAGGAGGUCCUCCUUUUGGUGAUAUUCACUCAUAUGUCAUUUUAAAUUAUCAUGUCAUGGAGGUGCUGGGUAUUUCGAAUCUUUGGUUGGAACCUUCAUUUUGCGUUAAAUUCACAUGGUAUUCAGUUAUCUCCAUUAUUGCCAGUAGCAACGCACAAGCACUUUCUAUUAAAUGCACAUGCUAUUUUCUUUUGUAUCAUGUCAUUUUGUGGUCAUUAACAAUCAGAUGGAUGAAACUGAUCUUGUUUUGUGCAUCAUGGAUUUUCCUCAACUGAAUGAGUAGAAACAUAAGUGUGUAAUGUAGUAGCCCCUCUAUUCCAUUGUUAUAAAUAUUAUAGUUUUUCAAUCUGCUGACCUGAUCGUAACAGCUGUUUAAAAGGAAGUGAUCACAUCACUAUUUAGAUUUUACUUUUUUUUGUAUGCUUAAACAUAAGAUUAGUUUGUCCCCUUUCUUUUUACCCUUCAUGCUAACAUAAUAAAUACAUAUUUGAACUGAAUUGGUUGUAUUACAUAUGCCACGAAGGAUGUCGCCGCUUGAAGCUCGAUUUCCAUCAGCCCCUCUUUUAAUUCACUUGCAUUGUUUCAGCUUUGCAUUGUACUUCUUUGACGAAUUACCUCAUCCAACCGGCUUUAAUUCGGAGCGUCAGUCUUACUAAUUAUCAUUGCCUUAACUUUCCAUAUGAACCUCUUACAGGAAACAAGGACUCCUAUUUGUCUGUAGUACUGCCCAUGAGACUCAACCUUGUUUUACCUUAAUUAUCAUGGUGUGCCUUUUUUUUAUAAUAGCUCACCAUUUUGUUAGUGGCAAUAAAAUGCAUCUUUAGGCACACCUAUAGCGCACAUGUGAUGAUGUACAGAUGAAAGAAAGAUCUUAGAAGUUGAGAAGCCGAGAGCUGGAGGAACAAGGAGAAGCUAAAAGGACAGAAGAAGUCAGAGCAUGUGGAGCUGUUGGGCAAGCAGAGUUCUAUCUGGGUAUUUAGGUAGCUGAGGAUAAAAGGGAAAAGGAAAAUGUUGACGAUAUAGUUACUCAAUGCUGAGAAUGUUGCAUGCAUACUUUGUUGCCUAUAUAUCAUUGGCUUUGUAUUGAUCCAGGCAAGAACAAAUCAGACGGAACAAGUUUGCUACAGGUGGGUGUGCAUCAAGCUGCUUCGUUGCCGGCGGCGAGUAAUCUCACACAUGUUUAUGGCGCAUAUGUACCAGAAAAUUCAAAUGGUUCUGAUCAUACGUGCGAGGGGAAUCAGGUAGGGCUUGAUGCGCCUUUCAUACGAAAUGUUGAUGAGAAUUACCCAAGUAGUCCAGGUAUGAGGCUGUGCGGAUAUAGUAAUCAUAAUUUCCAGUGGCAUCGGCAUGUUCUAAUAAAUAAGAUGGGAAGUUCAGAAUAAUGUAACAUCGGCAUGUUCUAAUGAAUAAAAUAAGAGAAGGUUGGGGGCUUAGUAAUUACAUAGUCAGAAAAGAGGGACUAUGGUGGAUUAGAAGAUAUGUAUAUGUAGCUGCAAGCAUAUGUAUUUGGAUUGUCAGCUGAACAAUGUUUCAGCUGAAGAUCUCUGAAAUUAUAACCAUCAGUUCCUAAUAGCUUACAACUGGUGUGAUGAGCCACACAACUGCUUGUUGUGAUGUACACUUGCCUCAUCGAAGCACAUAUAUUAUAAAUUAACUGAAAUAUAGUACCUUCAAAUCCAAUGUGUAGUAAAUGUACUAUGGUAUGUGCAGCAACAUCUUUUAGAUCAUCAAAUAGAACCUAGGUUCAUAUUAGGCUAGCCACAUAUUAUUUGAGCAACACCAGUAACUUAACAGCAUGUCCAACAUCUUGAAUUGUUAAGCGAUGAGUGUUUAUGUGAUAGCAUGUCAGGUUAAUAAAAUCAGGUAGCAACCGCAACCCAACAUCCUAAAAACGAGGUUACACGAUUACCAUUUGAAUAGUAGCAUUUUGGAGAAAGCACUAAUAUGCACUUAAAUUAUGCACAGAUGCAUGUCAGGUUGUUCGCUUGGUCUGCGCCAACGAGCAUCUCCUACAAGUCAUCAUCUCUCUCUUUGUCGGCUCCAUGUUGUAGCCUGCUAGGAGUCCUACCUUGCCAUGGAGCAUGUCCUUUGUCAUGGGUCGUACUGAGGACGCAGUGACAUGCAAGGCGAGGGAAAUUGAAGCCAAAACAUGCAGGACGGCCAGGAGUGUGCCAUUUUUUCUAUGACAGGGGGUGGUUCUUCAAUCUUCAGGGAAUCAAGCGGUAGCAUCAGAUGCUGACAUGCAUGGAAGUAAACAUUGAUAAGAGUACAAGCAUUGGAGGAGUACUCACCACAUUCGAGGAAGUCGUCAUCAUGGUGGUGGUGGUCGAGGAAGUCGUAGGUGCUGGUGGCAUCAUCACGGAGCAGGCACCAUCUUCUCCUCGACUUAAAAUGUGGGAUGCAGCAACCUUGUCAAAGUAGCAUCUGUUCCUUUGUUUCCAAAUGUUCCAGGCGUCCGGGACUUUGAUUGCAUUGAACAAUGGGUGUGGCCAUGAAGACUUCACUGCAUCAAACAUCUCCUGAAGCUCCAAGUUGGUAUCCCAUUGAAUAUUGAUGGAGUUCCAAUAGACCGCACUGAAGGUGCACUAAAAAAAUGGGUGUUUGUUCGUUUCCAGUGGUGUGGUGUUGCACAAAAGACAGGAGUGACUCCAAUAUCAAAAUGUCUCCGGUGGAGCAUGUCCCUUACGUUGACUCUGUCCAUUAACAUCAGCCAGGUGAACACUUUAAGUUUCAUGAUACACUUUGUCUUCCAGAUCAUUGUGAUGUAUGCGGGUGGCUGCAGUUCUCUGAAGAAGAAGUUGGUGAAUUUCUUGGGCCGAAACUGAACAUCUCCCCAACAAGUAAUCCAUUCAUCAGCCAUCAUUGGUUCCAAGUAGAGAUCAUUCAUAUGAUUCUGCAGAUAUGUUAAUUCAUGUAGCGCCUUGAUUGAUAGAGUGAGGUGAAAGUUUUUAGAAGCCUGUGGUCUGUCUUGGAAUUGCACUAUAGAAAUAUCCUCCUCCCUUGUGGAAGUGAACAUGUGUGGCAGCUUGUUGGAAAGGGGUUCGUCAUCGAUCGGAAUAUCUUUCCAUAGAAGAAUUGUGUCGCCAGCUCUAGGAAUGCAAGUUGUAACCCCUCUGUAUAUGUCCAUCAACGAGAACACAUCGUUCUGUAUAUCUUUCCAUAAAAGAAUUGUGUGAAAAUUUCUUAAGCGCAACAACUAGAUAUUAAUUUAUAAUAGAAUUUUAGUUGGAUCA